GUGCCAGCAGCGGCGGUAAUACGGAGGGUGCAAGCGUUGUCCGGAUUUAUUGGGUUUAAAGGGUGCGUAGGCGGGUCUUUAAGUCAGUGGUGAAAGCCCACAGCUCAACUGUGGAACUGCCAUUGAUACUGGAGGCCUUGAAUUCAGUUGAGGUAGCGGAAUUGAUGAUGUAGCGGUGAAAUGCAUAGAUAUCAUCAAAGAACACCGAUUGCGAAGCCAGCUUACUGGGCUUGAAUUGACGCUGA
rnacentral:rRNA from 1 species